rnacentral:rRNA from 1 species
GGGGAAUUUUCCGCAAUGGGCGAAAGCCUGACGGAGCAAUACCGCGUGAGGGAGAAAGGGGCUUGGGGUGUAAACCUCUUUUUUCAAGGAAUAAGAAAAGAAGGUAAUUGAGGAAUCAGCAUCGGCUAACUCCGUGCCAGCAGCCGCGGUAAUACGGAGGAUGCAAGCGUUAUCCGGAAUGAUUGGGCGUAAAGCGUCCGCAGGUGGCUGUGUAAGUCUGCUGUUAAAGAGUCUAGCUUAACUAGAUAAAAGCAGUGGAAACUACAUAGCUAGAGUGCGUUCGGGGUAGAGGGAAUUCCUGGUGUAGCGGUGAAAUGCGUAGAGAUCAGGAAGAACACCGGUGGCGAAGGCGGUCUACUAGGCCGCAACUGACACUGAGGGACGAAAGCUAGGGGAGCGAAUGGGAUUAGAUACCCCAGUAGUCCUAGCCGUAAACGAUGGAUACUAGGCGUUGCGAGUAUCGACCCUCCCAGUGCCGGAGCCAACGCGUUAAGUAUCCCGCCUGGGGAGUACGCACGCAAGUGUGAAACUCAAAGGAAUUGACGGGGGCCCGCACAAGCGGUGGAGUAUGUGGUUUAAUUCGAUGCAACGCGAAGAACCUUACCAAGACUUGACAUGUCGCGAACCCUGAUGAAAGUUAGGGGUGCCUUCGGGAGCGCGAACACAGGUGGUGCAUGGCUGUCGUCAGCUCGUGUCGUGAGAUGUUGGGUUAAGUCCCGCAACGAGCGCAACCCUCGUUUUUAGUUGCCAGCAUUAAGUUGGGCACUCUAGAGAGACUGCCGGUGACAAACCGGAGGAAGGUGGGGAUGACGUCAAGUCAGCAUGCCCCUUACGUCUUGGGCUACACACGUACUACAAUGCUCCGAACAGAGGGCAGCGAGCGUGCGAACGCAAGCAAAUCCCGGAAAUCGGAGCUCAGUUCAGAUCGAAGGCUGCAACUCGCCUUCGUGAAGGAGGAAUCGCUAGUAAUUGCAGGUCAGCAUACUGCAGUGAAUUCGUUCCCGGGCCUUGUACACACCGCCCGUCACACCAUGGAAGCUGGCAACGCCCGAAGUCAUUACCCCAACUUUUCAAAGAGGGGGAUGCCUAAGGCAGUGCUGGUGACUGGGGUGAAGUCGUAACAAGGUAGCCGUACCGGAAGGUGUGGCUGGAUCACCUCCUUUUAGGGAGACCUACCCAAAUUGGAAUCGAAAGCAAGCAGCGAAUAGAGAACAAGAUGGUCAACCAAGGUCGGUCGAGAUUGGUAAAAGCUUUCAAAGUAUUGAAUGGUUCGGAGUAAAAAACCAGAAAAAAAGAGAAA